rnacentral:rRNA from 1 species
UACGGAGGGUGCAAGCGUUAUUCGGAUUCACUGGGUUUAAAGGGUGCGUAGGCGGACAGGUAAGUCAGUGGUGAAAUCUCUGGGCUUAACCCAGAAACUGCCGUUGAUACUAUUUGUCUUGAAUAUCCUGGAGGUAGGCGGAAUAUGUCAUGUAGCGGUGAAAUGCUUAGAUAUGACAUAGAACACCGAUAGCGAAGGCAGCUUACUACAGGAUGAUUGACGCUGAGGCACGAAAGCGUGGGGAGCAAACAGG